rnacentral:rRNA from 1 species
GAUGAACGCUAGCGGCAGGCCUAAUACAUGCAAGUCGAACGGUGGUAGCAAUACCAUAGUGGCGCACGGGUGCGUAACACGUAACUAACCUACCUAUAACUGGGGGAUAGCCCGCCGAAAGGCGGAUUAAUACCGCAUAAGCUUGUGAGAUGGCAUCAUCUUAUUAGUAAAGAUUUAUUGGUUAUAGAUGGGGUUGCGGGUCAUUAGCUAGUUGGUAAGGUAACGGCUUACCAAGGCGACGAUGACUAGGGGAGCUGAGAGGCUGGUCCCCCACACGGGCACUGAGAUACGGGCCCGACUCCUACGGGAGGCAGCAGUAGGGAAUAUUGGGGCAUGGGCGAGAGCCUGACCCAGCCAUGCCGCGUGCANGAAGAAAGCUUUCUGAGUCGUAAACUGCUUUUGACAGGGAAGAAAUAGGCUUACGUGUANGCUGAAUGACGUACCUGCAAAAUAAGCACCGGCUAACUCCCGUGCAGCAGCCCGCGUAAAUACGAGGUUGCGAGCGUUGUCCCGAAUUAAUGGGUUUAAAGGGUGGCGAAGCGGCCCGUUAGUCCGGGGUGAAAGCCCGUUGCUCAACAACGGAACUGCCCUGGAUACUGACGGGCUUGAGUACAGACGAGGUUGGCGGAAUGGACUGAGUAGCGGUGAAAUGCAUAGAUACAGUCCAGAACCCCGAUUGCGAAGGCAGCUGACUAGGCUGUUACUGACGCUGAGGCACGACAGCGUGGGGAGCGAACAGGAUUAGAUACCCUGGUAGUCCACGCCGUAAACGAUGGAUACUCGCUGCGAGCUAAAGAUUGUUCGUGGCUUAGGGAAACCGAUAAGUAUCCCACCUGGGGAGUACGCCGGCAACGGUGAAACUCAAAGGAAUUGACGGGGGCCCGCACAAGUGGUGGAGCAUGUGGUUUAAUUCGAUGAUACGCGAGGAACCUUACCUAGGCUAGAAUGCGCGUGACCGGCUCAGAGAUGAGCCUUUCCUUCGGGACACAAAGCAAGGUGCUGCAUGGCCGUCGUCAGCUCGUGCCGUGAGGUGUUGGGUUAAGUCCCGCAACGAGCGCAACCCCUAUGGUUAGUUGCCAGCACGUAAUGGUGGGGACUCUAGCCAGACUGCCUGCGCAAGCAGUGAGGAAGGCGGGGACGACGUCAGGUCAUCAUGGCCCUUACGCCUAGGGCGACACACGUGCUACAAUGGACGGUACAGCGGGUAGCUACUGGGCGACCAGAUGCCAAUCUCGAAAAGCCGUUCUCAGUUCGGAUCGGAGUCUGCAACUCGACUCCGUGAAGCUGGAAUCACUAGUAAUCGCGCAUCAGCCAUGGCGCGGUGAAUACGUUCCCGGGCCU